AAGAUGCAAAUGGAUUGAAGAAGGAUGGAUGGAUCGUUCCAGUAGGACUGUGUAGAAUUUUAUCACAUUCUUCCUAGAAUGGUCCGUUUAUUCUUCUUAUUUUCUACAGGACAACGA
rnacentral:precursor_RNA from 12 species